GUAGCGUUGGCCGAGAGGUCUAAGGCGCUGGUUUUAGGCACCAGUCAUUUCGAAUGGCGUGGGUUCGAAUCCCACCGCUGCC
rnacentral:tRNA from 1 species